UCCGAGCUCAUAGGAAGUAAUGGUCCCCAGAAGUUCUGCAUAGACAAAGUGGGGAAGGAGACUUGGCUUCCAAGAAGCCACACAUGCUUCAAUCGUCUGGAUCUGCCUCCCUACCGAAGCCUGGAACAGCUCCGAGAGAAGCUCCUGUUCGCCAUCGAGGAGACGGAGGGAUUUGGACAGGAGUGAGACGAGGAGGCAGAGACGGACGACACUUAAAUCGACGAAUAGUUUUUUGUUAUUGGUCUUAUUUUGCGUUUGUUUGUUCAUCACAGGGCUGAGGAGUCACCUGUCAGCUAAACAAGCCCUCCCUGGGCGAGGAUCAUGUUAGUGAGCUAGUGAGCUGAAUCAUGGGAUCAGGCUUGAGGCACAGGAACACAGAAGAGUGAAUGCUUACGUGUGUGUGUGUGUGGGUGUGUGUGUGGUUGCUCAUGUUAAUGCCAUUGUGUAUUUGCAUAUAAAUGGUGUGUAUGUGUGUGGAUUAAACAGGAUGACCACUCCCCCCCUCCUUACUCACUGCUUAGAACCGCACCAAAACCAGACGACAUGAUAGUUUUAAUGUCAGCAGCGACUCACAGCGACAGCACAGCUACCCGCAAAUGCAGUACAACAUAUCUACCAGAGAGACGUACAUUUUAAGCAUAUUAAAGCAGCGAGACGGCAGCGUGUGAGAGGAAGCUGUUAUCGUGAACUAGUGCGCCUCUGUUACAGAGGUCAGAGAGAUGAGAUGCGAUUUUAUUUUUUCUGUUGAUUGUGAAAUUCAGUCGAUUUCUCCUGUAUAUAACUCAAAUAAAUGAGAUUUCAGUCAUAA